UAGUGACGAAAAAUAACGAUACGGGACUCAUCCGAGGCCCCGUAAUCGGAAUGAGUACACUUUAAAACUUUUCCCGAGGAUCAAUUGGAGGGUAAGUCUGGUGCCAGCAGCCGCGGUAAUUCCAGCUCCAAUAGCGUAUAUUAAAGUUGUUGCGGUUAAAAAGCUCGUAGUCGAAUCUGUGUCCCGCGCCGCUGGUUCAUCGCUCGCGGUGUUCAACUGGCGUGUCUCGCGGGACGUCCUGCCGGUGGGCGCUCGUAUCGUUUCGGCGGUGCGUGGCCCAACUCGUAGCCGUCUCGCGCGGUUGCGAAUCCCAUCGCGGUGCUCUUUAUUGAGUGUCGAGGUGGGCCGGCACGUUUACUUUGAACAAAUUAGAGUGCUUAAAGCAGGCCAAUUUUGCCUGAAUAUUGUGUGCAUGGAAUAAUGGAAUAGGACCUCGGUUCUAUUUUGUUGGUUUUCGGAACCCCGAGGUAAUGAUUAAUAGGAACGGAUGGGGGCAUUCGUAUUGCGACGUUAGAGGUGAAAUUCUUGGAUCGUCGCAAGACGGACAGAAGCGAAAGCAUUUGCCAAAAACGCUUUCAUUGAUCAAGAACGAAAGUUAGAGGUUCGAAGGCGAUCAGAUACCGCCCUAGUUCUAACCAUAAACGAUGCCAGCUAGCGAUCCGCCGACGUUCCUCCGAUGACUCGGCGGGCAGCUUCCGGGAAACCAAAGCUUUUGGGUUCCGGGGGAAGUAUGGUUGCAAAGCUGAAACUUAAAGGAAUUGACGGAAGGGCACCACCAGGAGUGGAGCCUGCGGCUUAAUUUGACUCAACACGGGACACCUCACCAGGCCCGGACACCGGAAGGAUUGACAGAUUGAGAGCUCUUUCUUGAUUCGGUGG
rnacentral:rRNA from 1 species